AAAUUAAACCACAAAUAUUGCUUCUAUUGUCAUUGAUGAAUACGCAAGUAUAAAUCAUGGCUGUCAAAAAAAAAUUCUUGUAAGUGAGAUAUUUGACAUGUUUUAUGAUCAUUUCAAUAGAGACAACCUCAAAGCUAUCUUAAUGGUUUCUUUUCUUGAUCUCUCUAAUAUUCUUUAAUACAAGAAGUUUGAACUGUUUUAAGUUAUUCCAUAAAAUCAAUUGACCGAAUUUGGUUAAAUCAACUGUACCUUUUUCUUCUUCUUCUUUGUUCAUAUUGCUCAUACUAAUAUCAACAAUGAUAUAGCGAUAAGGACAAGGAUAUGGAAGGAGCACAUGUAUGUUGACUCUACUGCACUCAAUUACCACUUUUGCCCUUUCAUAGGCCUUUCUUCAUACUUGUUCUUUCCAUUGUUUUCUUGUUUAUUGUCUUCUAUUCUUUUAUUACUCUUGGUCUAUUUGUGAACAUUAUCUUUGAAUAUGAAUAUAUUUUUACAGAGUGCUGCCUCUCUUUCUAUCCUUGUUUGGUUUUACUAAGUUUUAGCUGGAAAAUCUUAACAUUGCCUUAAGUAAAGUGAGGCAUUGAACCUAGAUAGAGCCAAACCUCCAUCAUAAUAAGAAUUGUCUUUUUUUUUUUAAUUUUAAUAUAUACAUAUCUAUACACACAUCUGAGAAGGAGUGUUUUACACACACAAAAGAGACAAUGAGUGCCUAUGACAAGUUCUGCUCUCUUUGACUAUUAUUAUGACAAUUUCAAGUAGGGUGUAAAAAACCAAACUGAACCGACUGGUUCGGGUCGGGUCAGAUUGGUUUAAAAGAAAAAUGGUAUAGAAUUGAACCGAACUAAAGUGAUUUCAGUUUGUUCAAGGUCGGGUGCAGUUCACCUGAUUAGGCUAAAAAUUUUACACCCAACUUAAAAUUAAAGAAAAGAAGCAGCAUUCUUCAGUCUUCAUUCUCCUUAUGUUCUUCAUUGUCUGUUAUUUGUUCCUGUCUGUGGGUGUCUUCGUUCAUUAUCUAUUAGUGGAUCUCCUCUACAUUCUCCUUCGUUCAUCUUCAUUCUCCUCCGUAGAUCUUCUCACAUUCUCUAUCAAUCUUCUCUGUAGCCUCUGACGUGGGUUGAAAUUUUUGAGGUAUUUAACAAUUUUAUAGUAUUUUUAUGUAAAUAUUACGAUAAAUCUGUGUAGAUGAGGUAAAAAGUAUGGUGUUUAUUAAAGAAUUUGUGUUGAAAAGAGUGAGGUCCGAUUUGAUGAAAAUGAAAGCCUAUGAAAGUUGGGGUUUGAGUGAGGAGGGAGAGGUACAUGGAGGGUUAACGUGGCUAUUCUGAAAAGAUAAAUUCCCAUUUUAUCUUUAUAUUGUUUUAUGUAAACUUAUAUUGUUUUUAUGUAAAUUUAUACGGUUUUUAUGUAAAUUUUUAUGUAAAUUGUAUGUUGUUUUUAUCUCAAUUAUUUAAACUCUGUUUUUAUGUAAAUUGUAUGCCGUUUUGAGGUAAAAUGUAUGUUAUUUUUAUGCUAUUGUGUGCAUGAUCAAUAGAACAAAUUAAUGUUGUUCUAGAUUUUAAUUUGACAAUGAUGGUCUGUCAUAGAUUGUAAAGAUUGAGGAAUUUUAUUUUAUUAUGUUUUUGUGACUACUUGGUAGUUCUGGCUGGCUAUGUACUAAGCUAUAAAUUUGUGUGUUUUUUCUGUGUGUUUUGCUUGAUGAUUAUUAUGAUGACUUUACUCUCUGUAGACGAGACUUCAAAACAAAGUUGUUCUAGUCUAGUGUUAGGAAAAAGAAAACCAGUUAAACCACCAUCAUCGGUAUAAGAACAUUUUAUAAAAGUACAAGGAUGUGAUCCUAAAUAUACUAGAGCUGCUUGUAAACAUUGUGGGACUUCAUAUGCUUGUGAUUCCAAAAGAAAUGGCACCAGAAAUCUAAAAAGACAUUUAAAGAAAUGUAAGAAGUAUGCAAAUCCAUUGGAAGAUAAUGUUGAAGGAUAGGGAGAUUCUGAAAAUAGUUUGAUGGCUACAUCCUUCACUUUAGAAAAUUGUAGAACAAUGCUUGUUAGUAUGGUUAUCAUGGAUGAAUUGUCAUUUAAAUUUGUAGAAAGUGAAGGAUUUCAUCAAUUUUGUCAGAUAUUAAAUCCAAAGAUUGUGAUUCCAUCAAGAGUAACUGUUGCAAAGGAUUGUUUAAUUUUCAAAUGUAUAUGAGGGAGAAAAAAAAAGUUAAAAAAUGAAUUAACUCGAAGUGGCCAAAGAGUUUGUUUAACAAUGGAUACAUGGACAUCUGUGUAAAGUAUUAAUUAUAUGAUUAUAAUGGAUCAUUUCAUCGAUGAUGAUUGGAACUUGCACAAAAGAAUUUUGAAUUUUUUUCAAAUAGCUAAUCACAAAGGAGAUACAAUAGGUAGAGCUGUUGAAAAGUUCUCAGAAGGUUAGGGUAUCGAUAGACUCUUUACUGUAACAGUUGAUAAUGCGAGUUCAAAUAGUGUAGCAAUUGCCUACUUGGUUAAAAAGUUUAGAGGUAGAAAUAGGUUGGUGUUGGAUAGUGAUUUUAUUCACAUUAGAUGUUGUGCCCAUAUUCUUAAUUUAAUUGCUAGUGAUGCCUUAAAAGAAUUGUAUGUGUCUAUCAUUUGAAUCAGAAAUGUUGUGAAGUAUGUUAGGUCAUCUCGUGCUAAAUUGCAAAUAUUUUAAGAUUUUGCUAAAGAAGAUAAAAUGCUAACAAAAAAUUGUCUAACGAUGGAUGUUCCAACAUGAUGGAAUUCUACUUUCACUAUGUUCGAUGGAGCAAUUAAGUGUAAACAAACGUUUGAAAGAUUAGAGGAGCAUGGCCCUAAUUAUUUGCCAAAGGAUGAUAUUUCUACGGCUGAAGAUUGGGAUAGUGCAAAAGUGUUUGUAAAGUUCCUAAAAACUUUUUCAGAGAGUUUUGAAGCACAGGGACGGAAGCAUAGUGAUGGAAGCACUUUGGGUUAGAUUUUUAUCCAAUGUUUGUAUAAUGUUGUUCCUGAUCUAAAAAUAUUUCGAAUCAAAUCACCAAUGCCUCACAAAGGAUCAAGCUGGAAAAAUGAUCCACAUGCUGCAUUUGCUUUAAUCACUGAUGGGAAGAAUUUAACAGAAGGCACUGGUAACAAGGUUAGUGAACGAAGGUAUUAGGAAAAUUACUUUAGCAAUUGGCGAUGGUGCAAACAAUGUAGGAAUGAUUUAAGAGGCUGAUAUUGGUAUCGGUAUCGGUGUCCGUAUGAUGUAGGUCUUGUAUGAAAAACCUUUGGUCAUUAAUAGAAAAAAAAGGUAAACAGUUUCUUUCUCUGAAGUUGGAAAAAUUCAAGCUGAGAAAUUUUUGUUGUGUCAUAGACAUAGUUAUUGAAUUACCAAUUAUAGUUAUCUUUAUAAGUGCACCCUUUU